GCCAACUUUGCUUUUGAAUGUCCCUGGAACGAUGCAGUCACACAAUAUAAGGAAAUACAGAAUCAAAAACCUAUAAAACCUGCGACACAAUGACUCACAAAGAAGCAUGAAUAUGGAUGCAGGUAUGAUAAACUACUUGGUUCAAGUACAUAUUCAAUAUUAUUUUAAUACUUGGUUCAAGAACAUAAAAUCAUAAAAUUGGAUGUAUAAAGACUAUGAAUUAUGUUAACAACACAUGUCCAACUAGUCAAAGUAGUAAAAGCCAAUCUUAUGAGCCUAACCAUGCUUUUAGCUAUGAUGAAUUAUUAUUAGGAUGAGACAUUAUGAAAAAGGAAACUUUUCAUCAAAUUCUCAAUAAAUCAUCCACAAACUCUUGCAAAGAUGUUUUAGGUAAAACUCCAUCAAAUACAAGCUUAUUUUUCCAAUUUGUACAAUAAAAAACAAUUGAUAUAUGAAUCACAGUUAAAGUACUACGAAAAUUGUCCCAAAUUUUUGUUGCAUAAACUUAAACCAUAUGUUAAAUUAGAAAUAUAACCCAAAAUUGUCAAACAAAAACAGGUUCGAUUAGAGAAAUUGCAAAAUGAAAAUUUAGGCAAUGUUUGAAUUGAAAUUUUUGAAUUGUUUAUGUUUGAAUUGUAAUGUUUUAAAUAAUAUGGACUACAUUCUAAUCAACUUCAUACUCCAAAGUUUUGCUUCCAUUUAUUUUCACCAUUUUUAAUUAUUAACAUCUCUUGGACACACUAUGACAGAUGAUAUGUAGAAGUUCCAUUUUAUAGUCCAUCAUCUACGGAGUGGGUCAAAAGCCAUCAUACGAAACUCUAAUACAAGGAAUAUUUAGUAUCCAUGCUUCAUAGUUCAUCAGCAAUAUAUUUGAAAUAAAUAAUAGUACCAUAGCUGUUGGAAGAAGCUACA
rnacentral:misc_RNA from 1 species